rnacentral:tRNA from 1 species
UUAAAGCACCUCGCUUACAUCGAGAAAAUACUUGUGAAAACCAAGUUAUUUCGA